UACAGAGGUCCCAAGCGUUGUUCGGAUUCACUGGGCGUAAAGGGUGCGUAGGCGGUCGGGUAAGUCUGGCGUGAAAUCUCCAAGCCUAACUUGGAAACUGCGUUGGAUACUAUCCGGCUCGAGGAAUGGAGGGGAGACUGGAAUACUUGGUGUAGCAGUGAAAUGCGUAGAUAUCAAGUGGAACACCAGUGGCGAAGGCGAGUCUCUGGACAUUUCCUGACGCUGAGGCACGAAGGCCAGGGGAGCAAACGGG
rnacentral:rRNA from 1 species